AGAUUGAACGCUGGCGGCAUGCUUUACACAUGCAAGUCGAACGGCAGCGCGGGGCAACCUGGCGGCGAGUGGCGAACGGGUGAGUAAUAUAUCGGAACGUACCCAAGAGUGGGGGAUAACGUAGCGAAAGUUACGCUAAUACCGCAUACGAUCUAAGGAUGAAAGCAGGGGACCGCAACGCCUUGUGCUCCUGGAGCGGCCGAUAUCUGAUUAGCUAGUUGGAGGGUAAAGGCCUACCAAGGCUACGAUCAGUAGCUGGUCUGAGAGGACGACCAGCCACACUGGAACUGAGACACGGUCCAGACUCCUACGGGAGGCAGCAGUGGGGAAUUUGGACAAGUGGCGCAAGCCUGAUCCAGCAAUGCCGCGUGAGUGAAAGGAAGGCCGUUCGGUUAGUAAGUCUUCGUUUUGUACGAGGGAAGAAACGGUGGGGACUAAUAGUCCUUACACUAAUGUACGGUACUGAAG
rnacentral:rRNA from 1 species